UACACAACAAAAAAGCAUUGUCUUUCUCAGAUAAUGAGGAUUAAGGAGGAGGAGGAAGAGAUGGCUGCCGCUGGUGGUAGUCAGGUGGUGAAAGUGAAGAGGGAGAUCAUCGAGGCAUGCUUGAGUGCAGUCUUUGUAAUAAGGUGUCAAAGGAGGCUACAACCAUUUCAUUCUGCCUCCAUACGUUUUGCAGAAAGUGCAUCUUCGAUAAACUGUCAGAGGAGUAGGACAGAUGUCCAGUAUGUGAUACUUAUCUCGGCAAUUUGCCUGUGACAAAACUCAGGUGAUGUUCCUAUAUUCUAACGGUAAAUGCAUCGUGUCGCUGGUUCCUUGGGUUCAUUAUUAAGGAUUUACCAAAAUUUUUUAUUUCAUUCAUUUAUUAUUAUUAUUCUUUUAGGAAAACAUGGAAGGUACAAGAGAAAUUUAUUGAUAUGAAAAAAGAAGUUACACCUAGUCAGGAGGGGACAUAAACCUUACCCCUCCUUGAGCAAGAAAAAUGAAAUACAAGAAAAGAGGGGAGACAUAAACCUUAUCCCUUUUGAAAGUAAAUAUCCUACAGAAAUGCAAUUAGUGGACUCGAAUACGUAUAUAGUACUGUUAGUCACAUUACCUUCCUUCCCAAAGUUAAGUACCAUAGGGCAGAUAAUUCUAUUCUUGGAAAAAAAAAAAAAAAAAAAGAGUACCGUAGGGAAGAUAAUAAAUCGAUGCCUGUUUAUUAUCGAUUAGCAACAGGAAAAGAAACAGAUUUGGAAAAUGGUUCUGGAAAAAAUCAUGACCUAAUUGUGGUUUUGCAUUGAAAAUUGUUAACAAAUUUAAAAUUUCUGUAACUAAGGUUUCUUCUUGCACAUUGUCAUAUGACUUUACGCAAGUGCGUAGUUUUUUUCGUUGUACUAGUUUUUCGAUCAUAAUGUUGCAAAUGUGUGCGGGAGCUUUACGUUGAAAUGUUCUUAAUUACACGUGUUAAAUGAUCUGCAGUCCAGACCAUAUUUUGCAAAAUUAUAGCCAAGAUAUAUUUCCCGUUAAAAGGAAGAAAGUCGAUGCACCGGAAGUUAGGGAGCACGAAGCUAAUAAUCCUGAUGUUACACCUUCCUCAUUAGGAGGAUGCCGUUUUUCUGCUGAAGAACCUCUAGAAAUAGAUGAUUCUGCAGAAGAUUAUCCAGUGAGCUCCUGCGCAUGCAAUGACCUCUCAAAAUAAGUUGCUAGUAAACGGGGAUGGAUGACUGGAUUGAAGAGUAGGUCAAGAAGUGCAAAGCAGGCAACAUGAUCCAAGGAUUGCAAAUUAGGGUUUUGGCAUCAGAAUUAGGGUUAUAAUAUGUCAUUUUCAAAAGAACUGUGUGUAGGUAGCUUUGCUCCUGACAUAGGGAUAACUUUGGCAGUUUGUUAAUUGUUUAUUUUGUUUUCUCUUUAACUUUUUCUUAUGGGUUUGGUUUUAUGUUUUGGAUGUAUAAAUACACCGCUUGGGUGUUAGAAUUGUCAUCUUUUCGACUAUUAUUCAAUAAACUUGAAUUUACUCAA